AUAAAGGCCCUUUUCAGGGCCACCCACUUUUCUAAAGGGCUGUA
rfam:Rattus norvegicus chromosome 17, whole genome shotgun sequence.